rnacentral:tRNA from 1 species
GCGGGUAUAACUCAAUUGGUAGAGUGCUCAGGCUUACCCCUGAGAAGUUAUGAAGCGAGAAUAAGGGAUGUGAUACUAGUGUAGCAUCUUGGAAGGUAGCUUUUUGGUUCGAGUCCCUUUACCCGCACCA